UACACACCGCCCGUCACGCCAUGGGAGUUGGCUUUACCUGAAGGCGGUGCGCUAACCCGCAAGGGAGGCAGCCGACCACGGUAGGGUCAGCGACUGGGGUG
rnacentral:rRNA from 1 species